rnacentral:rRNA from 1 species
AUUGAACGCUGGCGGCAGGCCUAACACUUGCAAGUCGAACGAGUGGCGGACGGGUGAGUAAUGUAUGGGAAACUGCCCGAUGGAGGGGGAUAACUACUGGAAACGGUAGCUAAUACCGCAUACCAUCGGAGGUGCCCAGAUGGGAUUAGCUAGUUGGUGGGGUAAAGGCUCACCAAGGCGACGAUCCCUAGCUGGUCGGAGAGGAUGACCAGCCACACUGGAACUGAGACACGGCCCAGACUCCUACGGGAGGCAGCAGUGGGGAAUUGUGCACAAUGGGCGCAAGCCUGAUGCAGCCAUGCCGCGUGUAUGAAGAAGGCCUUCGGGUUGUAAAGUACUUUCAGCAGGGAGGCGUUACCUGCAGAAGAAGCACCGGCUAACUACGUGCCAGCAGCCGCGGUAAUAC